UUUGUGUGGCUUUUCCACCUACUGGCAUUUUAUGAAAAUGAAGCGUUUAGGCCAGUUAUUCUGUAGUAGUUAGGUUUAUUCAAUAGCUUCAUCCUCAACUGGAGUUUGGAAGUAUCUUUUGCCUUCUGGAUUUCUUGUUAAAUGGGGUUGCUCUAGGGUGUGGGCAAAAGGACUCUUGGCAGCAGAGGCCAGGUUGUGAGUAAUUUAUUGCCAGGGAAUCAACAGGGCAGUGUCUCUGUCAUCAUGCACACACACGGGGCUUUUUUCUUCUUCUUUUUCAGUCACCACCAGGGCUUUACUGCUCUAGGCCAACUUUUUCAGAUAGCAGAGACAGAGACAGAGAAACAGGAGAGGGGAAGAUGUCACAGCACAGAGCCUGCCUGCCUCAAGAGCCUUGGAACCCCUGCUUUUCGUCGUGUUGCUCACAUGUGUCCCAGUUUUCCUUGUCUGUCUCCCUUGUGUGGGCCCUGGAUAGAUACUGAAGUCAUCUUUGGAUGCGGCUGUUGCUAACAAAGAAUGAACAGCUGAAAAGGAAGCAGGAUCUUUAAACUUCCGAAGGAGGAGGAGGAAGGGGUCUGUACAUACCUCACCUCUCCUAUCUCAGUUCUCCAGUUCCUCCUAGAAGAGAUCCGACUGGGCCAGGCCUAAAUUUCUCCAACCUG